GAUGAACGCCGGCGGUGUGCCUAAUACAUGCAAGUUGUACGCACUGGCCCAAUUGAUUGAUGGUGCUUGCACCUGAUUGACGAUGGAUCACCAGUGAGUGGCGGACGGGUGAGUAACACGUAGGUAACCUGCCCCGGAGCGGGGGAUAACAUUUGGAAACAGAUGCUAAUACCGCAUAACAACAAAAGCCACAUGGCUUUUGUUUGAAAGAUGGCUUUGGCUAUCACUUUGGGAUGGACCUGCGGUGUAUUAGCUAGUAGGUAGGGUAACGGCCUACCUAGGCGACGAUACAUAGCCGACCUGAGAGGGUGAUCGGCCACACUGGGACUGAGACACGGCCCAGACUCCUACGGGAGGCAGCAGUAGGGAAUUUUCGGCAAUGGGGGCAACCCUGACCGAGCAACGCCGCGUGAGUGAAGAAGGUUUUCGGAUCGUAAAGCUCUGUUGUAAGAGAAGAACGUGUGUGAGAGUGGAAAUUCACACAGUGACGGUAACUUACCAGAAAG
rnacentral:rRNA from 1 species